rnacentral:rRNA from 1 species
AACGAACGCUGGCGGCAGGCUUAACACAUGCAAGUCGAGCGCCCCGCAAGGGGAGCGGCAGACGGGUGAGUAACACGUGGGAAUCUACCCAUCUCUACGGAAUAACGCAUGGAAACGUGUGCUAAUACCGUAUACGUCCUUCGGGAGAAAGAUUUAUCGGAGAUGGAUGAGCCCGCGUGGGAUUAGCUAGUUGGUGGGGUAAAGGCCUACCAAGGCGACGAUCCAUAGCUGGUCUGAGAGGAUGAUCAGCCACACUGGGACUGAGACACGGCCCAGACUCCUACGGGAGGGAGAAGUGGGGAAUAUUGGACAAUGGGCGCAAGCUUGAUCCAGCCAUGCCGCGUGAGUGAUGAAGGCCCUAGGGUUGUAAAGCUCUUUCACCGGUGAAGAUAAUGACGGUAGCCAGAGAAGAAGCCCCGGCUAACAUCGUGCCAGCAGCCGCGGUAAAAC